rnacentral:sRNA from 1 species
CUAAUGCAGCCCAAACUCAAGGGGAUUGCUUAAGGCUAUAAUACAUGAGGAGAUGGAGAUCACUGGGGGCUGCUUAGAUGCUGCCCACCACAGGCUACAUAGCUAUUCUUUUACAAUCUUUAUUUUUAACUUACAGCAACUUGUACUGGACAGACUGGAAUAGAGAAGCUCCUAAAAUUGAAACAUCAUCUUUAGAUGGAGAAAACAGAAGAAUUCUGAUCAACACAGACAUUGGAUUGCCCAAUGGCUUAACCUUUGACCCUUUCUCUAAACUGCUCUGCUGGGCAGAUGCAGGAACCAAAAAACUGGAGUGUACACUACCCGAUGGAACUGGACGGCAUGUCAUUCAAAACAACCUCAAGUACCCCUUUAGCAUCGUAAGCUAUGCAGAUCACUUCUACCACACAGACUGGAGGAGGGAUGGUGUUGUAUCAGUAAAUAAACAUAGUGGCCAGUUUACUGAUGAGUAUCUCCCAGAACAACGAUCUCACCUCUACGGGAUAACUGCAGUCUACCCCUACUGCCCAACAGGAAGAAAGAUGUAAAGGAAGACUUGGAGUUUACAAUCAGAACCUGGACCCUAAAGAACAGUGACUGCAAAGGCAAAGAAAGUAAAAAAGGAAUUGGCCAUUAGGCGUUCCUGAACAUACAAGAUGAACAUUUUUUAGUGCAAAAAGACUUUUGUGAAAAGCUGAUACCUCAAUCUUUACUAC